CCUACGGGUGGCAGCAGUGGGGAAUAUUGCUCAAUGGGCGAAAGCCUGACGCAGCGACGCCGCGUGAGGGAUGAAGGUCUUCGGAUCGUAAACCCCUGUCAGCAGGGAAGAACGGUCACUGUGCUAAUCAGCAGUGAAUUGACGGUACCGUCAAAGGAAGCACCGGCUAACUUCGUGCCAGCAGCCGCGGUAAUACGGAGGGUGCGAGCGUUAGUCGGAAUUACUGGGCGUAAAGCGGUCGUAGGCGGGAUUGUAAGUCAAGGGUGAAAUCCCCGCGCUUAACGUGGGAACUGCCUUUGAAACUGGGAGACUGGAGUGUGUGAGAGGAUAGUGGAAUUCCAGGUGUAGGAGUGAAAUCCGUAGAUAUCUGGAGGAACAUCAGUGGCGAAGGCGACUAUCUGGCACAUAACUGACGCUGAGGAGCGAAAGCGUGGGUAGCAAACAGGAUUAGAUACCCUUGUAGUC
rnacentral:rRNA from 1 species